rnacentral:rRNA from 1 species
GCCAGCCCGCUCAGAAACUUAAAGGAAUUGACGGGGGCCCGGCACAAGCGGUGGAGCAUGUGGUUUAAUUCGAUGAUACGCGAGGAACCUUACCUGGGCUCGAACGUAAGAUGACUGUAGGUGAAAGCUUACAUCUCUUCGGAGCAUUUUACGAGGUGCUGCAUGGUUGUCGUCAGCUCGUGCCGUGAGGUGUCGGGUUAAGUCCCAUAACGAGCGCAACCCCUACCUUUAGUUGCCAUCAGGUUAAGCUGGGGACUCUAAAGGAACUGCCUACGCAAGUAGUGAGGAAGGCGGGGAUGACGUCAAAUCAGCACGGCCCUUACGUCCAGGGCUACACACGUGCUACAAUGGCCGAUACAGAGGGCAGCUACCUGGUGACAGGAUGCAAAUCUCCAAAGUCGGUCUCAGUUCGGAUCGGAGUCUGCAACCCGACUCCGUGAAGUUGGAUUCGCUAGUAAUCGCGCAUCAGCCAUGGCGCGGUGAAUACGUUCCCGGGCCUU